UUGCUCUGACCAUUACUGAAGAAUAAUUCACCUUCAAACUCUUUUUUUAAAGAUUCUUCUAAGUUGUCAGUAAAGUGUGUUUCUUGUAUUAGGAGAAUAUCACAUUUUUGUUGUUUUGUCCAUUCAAUUAGUCUUUUUCUUUUUUCAGCUUGCUGUAAUCCCUUAGCAUUAACUGUACAGAUGUGAAGGUUUUGAUCAGCCAUAAUUGUUAAUAUAAAAGGUAAGUUUAUGAUUGGGGAACCCCCAUCUAUUUAUAGUAUCAAUUAUCGAUUUUAUUCUUUCUGUUACCAGUUCACGAGUAUUUACUUUAUUCAACAGGUAAAUAAUUGUCGUCAAUUUUGCUGUACUUUUAGCAUUUAAUUCUUUAUACUUUAUACAAAGUGCAAAUUGUUUUACUGUAAGAAGUGAUCCUACAUAAAAACAUAUUAAAUAGUGAUAAAAUUUAAUCACAAUAAUUAGAUACACAGUAUCAUUAAUGUUUAUCUUUACCAUAUUAUGUAAAAGAAAAUUACACAAUGUUGUUCUCAAAUUGACAAAACAUACAGUUUCUACACAUGAUGACCUCGCCUUACGGGUCAUUAUUUGGGUCAACAACGUGACUUUGUUUACAAACUGAGCUAUGACAAACAUAUGCCACACACAGUUUGUGAAGACAAUAAUUGAGAAAUAAAUUUUACUCAAUACAAAAAUAAUAUAAAUACUACAAUAAUUCUUUAAAGAAAUAUAAAAAUAAAAACAUUUACAUGAAUAUAUUAUACAAAAGAUGUAUUUACAUAGUUUACAGUAGAUAAAGAUAAUGAGUUCUUUAUGUAAAUAUGUACAUUUUUUUUUAUCAGUACUAUAAGUGUUUCUUUUGUCAGGUCUUAUUCGUAAUGUUUUGUUAUUCUCAUUCUUCUUUGCUUUUAUUUUGCUAAAUUGUUUUUUAUAGCUAUUGAGUGCUAAAAGAUUUAUUAUUUUUUCCAGGAGAUAUAUGUAAUGGUUUGCAUUAUGAAGUGGAUUAUAUCUGUUUUCCAAUUUGGACUCAAAGUUUUGCACAUAAUCUAGACAUGAAGUAUCAGCAUACACAGAGCUAUAAGUGUGAAUCUGUAUGGGAACAUCUGUUGUCAAUUCACUUAUGAAUUUUUGUGUGCAAAAGUAUGUCUGUUGCAAAUUUGUGUACAGAGUUAACAAAAUAUAUGUGUGUUCAUUUUGUGAUAUAAGGAGAAGAAUUUUGAGGCACAUCUUGAUUAAUUGGAACUGUGAUGAGAAAAGUGCGAAAUUUAUAUAAAAUAUGCAAUUCACCAAAGAUAUAAAUUGUGAAACUAUACUAAAUUCAACUCUACUGUAAAUGAGUUUUGUAACACAUGUCAUCAUGAUUAUAAACAAAAUAAAUAUCACUAAACAUGC
rnacentral:lncRNA from 1 species